GGUGGGCACAGUGGCGUGCACCUAUAGUCCCAGCUACUUGGGAGGCUGAGGCAAGGGGAUCACUUAAGCCUGUGAGUUCAAUGUCAGCUGGGGCAGCAUAAUGAGACCUGGUCUCAU
rnacentral:sRNA from 1 species